rnacentral:rRNA from 1 species
UACAGAGGGGGCAAGCGUUGUUCGGAAUUACUGGGCGUAAAGGGCGCGUAGGCGGCCUUCUAAGUCGAACGUGAAAUCCCCGGGCUCAACCCGGGAACUGCGUCCGAGACUGGAAGGCUCGAAUCCGGGAGAGGGAUGUGGAAUUCCAGGUGUAGCGGUGAAAUGCGUAGAUAUCUGGAGGAACAUCGGUGGCGAAGGCGGCAUCCUGGACCGGUAUUGACGCUGAGGCGCGAAAGCCAGGGGAGCAAACGGG